AGAUUAAGUUAUUAAGGGCGCACGGUGGAUGCCUUGGCACUAGAAGCCGACGAAGGACGUUACUAACGACGAUAUGCUUUGGGGAGCUGUAAGUAAGCUUUGAUCCAGAGAUUUCCGAAUGGGGAAACCCAACACGAGUUAUGUCGUGUUAUCGAUAUGUGAAUACAUAGCAUAUCUGAAGGCAGACGCGGAGAACUGAAACAUCUUAGUACCCGCAGGAAGAGAAAGAAAAAUCGAUUCCCUGAGUAGCGGCGAGCGAAACGGGAAGAGCCCAAACCAACGAGCUUGCUUGUUGGGGUUGUAGGACACUCUAUACGGAGUUACAAAAGAACAGACUAGACGAAUCAUCUGGAAAGAUGAAUCAAAGAAGGUAAUAAUCCUGUAGUCGAAAGUUUGUUCACUCUUGAGUGGAUCCUGAGUACGACGGAACACGAGAAAUUCCGUCGGAAUCUGGGAGGACCAUCUCCCAAGGCUAAAUACUCUCUAGUGACCGAUAGUGAACCAGUACCGUGAGGGAAAGGUGAAAAGUACCCCGGAAGGGGAGUGAAAUAGAACUUGAAACCGUGUGCUUACAAGUAGUCAGAGCCCGUUAAUGGGUGAUGGCGUGCCUUUUGUAGAAUGAACCGGCGAGUUACGAUUUGAUGCAAGGUUAAGCAGUGAAUGUGGAGCCGUAGCGAAAGCGAGUCUGAAUAGGGCGUUGAGUAUUUGGUCGUAGACCCGAAACCAGGUGAUCUACCCAUGACCAGGUUGAAGUUCAGGUAACACUGAAUGGAGGACCGAACCGACUUACGUUGAAAAGUGAGCGGAUGAGUUGUGGGUAGCGGAGAAAUUCCAAUCGAACCUGGAGAUAGCUGGUUCUCUCCGAAAUAGCUUUAGGGCUAGCCUCAAGUGAUGAUUAUUGGAGGUAGAGCACUGUUUGGACGAGGGGCCCUUAUCGGGUUACCGAAUUCAGACAAACUCCGAAUGCCAAUCAAUUUAACUUGGGAGUCAGAACGCGGGUGAUAAGGUCCGUGUUCGAAAGGGAAACAGCCCAGACCACCAGCUAAGGUCCCAAAAUAUAUGUUAAGUGGAAAAGGAUGUGGCGUUGCCCAGACAACUAGGAUGUUGGCUUAGAAGCAGCCAUCAUUUAAAGAGUGCGUAAUAGCUCACUAGUCGAGUGACACUGCGCCGAAAAUGUACCGGGGCUAAACAUAUUACCGAAGCUGUGGAUUGUCCGUAAGGACAAUGGUAGGAGAGCGUUCUAAGGGCGUUGAAGCAUGAUCGCAAGGACAUGUGGAGCGCUUAGAAGUGAGAAUGCCGGUGUGAGUAGCGAAAGACGGGUGAGAAUCCCGUCCACCGAUUGACUAAGGUUUCCAGAGGAAGGCUCGUCCGCUCUGGGUUAGUCGGGUCCUAAGCUGAGGCCGAUAGGCGUAGGCGAUGGAUAACAGGUUGAUAUUCCUGUACCACCAUUAUUCGUUUUAAGCGAUGGGGGGACGCAGUAGGAUAGGCGAAGCGUACGAUUGGAUUGUACGUCCAAGCAGUGAGAUUGAGUGUUAGGCAAAUCCGGCACUCUUAAGAUUGAGCUGUGAUGGGGAGAGGAAAUUGUUUCCUCGAGUCGUUGAUUUCACACUGCCAAGAAAAGCCUCUAGCUAGAAUUGUGGUGCCCGUACCGCAAACCGACACAGGUAGUCAAGAUGAGAAUUCUAAGGUGAGCGAGCGAACUCUCGUUAAGGAACUCGGCAAAAUGACCCCGUAACUUCGGGAGAAGGGGUGCUCUUUAGGGUUAACGCCCAGGAGAGCCGCAGUGAAUAGGCCCAAGCGACUGUUUAUCAAAAACACAGGUCUCUGCUAAACCGUAAGGUGAUGUAUAGGGGCUGACGCCUGCCCGGUGCUGGAAGGUUAAGAGGAGUGGUUAGCUUCUGCGAAGCUACGAAUCGAAGCCCCAGUAAACGGCGGCCGUAACUAUAACGGUCCUAAGGUAGCGAAAUUCCUUGUCGGGUAAGUUCCGACCCGCACGAAAGGCGUAACGAUUUGGGCACUGUCUCAACGAGAGACUCGGUGAAAUCAUAGUACCUGUGAAGAUGCAGGUUACCCGCGACAGGACGGAAAGACCCCGUGGAGCUUUACUGUAGUCUGAUAUUGAAAUUCGGCACAGCUUGUACAGGAUAGGUAGGAGCCUGAGAUACGUGAGCGCUAGCUUACGUGGAGGCGUUGGUGGGAUACUACCCUCGCUGUGUUGGAUUUCUAACCCGCACCAUUUAUCAUGGUGGGAGACAGUGUCAGAUGGGCAGUUUGACUGGGGCGGUCGCCUCCUAAAGAGUAACGGAGGCGCUCAAAGGUUUCCUCAGAAUGGUUGGAAAUCAUUCAUAGAGUGUAAAGGCAUAAGGAAGCUUGACUGCGAGACUUACAAGUCGAGCAGGGUCGAAAGACGGACUUAGUGAUCCGGUGGUUCCGCAUGGAAGGGCCAUCGCUCAACGGAUAAAAGCUACCCCGGGGAUAACAGGCUUAUCUCCCCCAAGAGUUCACAUCGACGGGGAGGUUUGGCACCUCGAUGUCGGCUCAUCGCAUCCUGGGGCUGUAGUCGGUCCCAAGGGUUGGGCUGUUCGCCCAUUAAAGCGGUACGCGAGCUGGGUUCAGAACGUCGUGAGACAGUUCGGUCCCUAUCCGUCGUGGGCGUAGGAAAUUUGAGAGGAGCUGUCCUUAGUACGAGAGGACCGGGAUGGACAUACCUCUGGUGUACCAGUUGUCGUGCCAACGGCAUCGCUGGGUAGCUAUGUAUGGACGGGAUAAGUGCUGAAAGCAUCUAAGCAUGAAGCCCCCCUCAAGAUGAGAUUUCCCAACUUCGGUUAUAAGAUCCCUCAAAGAUGAUGAGGUUAAUAGGUUCGAGGUGGAAGCAUAGCGAUAUGUGCAGCUGACGAAUACUAAUCGAUCGAAGACUUAAUCAAAUUUUA
rnacentral:rRNA from 1 species